rnacentral:rRNA from 1 species
AUGCCUCGAGAGAUGAUUAAUGCAGACAGCAUCGAAAGAGCCGUGACAGAUAUAGUCCCUUAUCUAGAGGAUACAAGCAGUACUGCGCACAAGGCCAUCUAUUUUGAUGGAUGGGAAGGGCUGGGUGCUUCGGCGGUGCUUAGAGCCAUAGCCAAAGACCCUCCGCCGUCUCUGCUGAACAAAUUCGACAAGAUCGUCCACGUCGAUUGCUCGAGGUGGAAAAGCCGACGAGCACUCCAGAGGACAAUCGCACAAGAACUCAAGCUUCCUCGUCUCAUAAUGGAUGUCAUUGAUAGGCAAGAUGAAGAAGAUGAUUUCAGAGGGAUAGAUGAAGGCUUGAGAGCCGAGAUAGGAUUUGUGGGAAGAGAGAUCCUUCGGGUCCUGAUGGGGCAGAAAUGUUUAGUGGUCUUCCAUAAUGGGAGCGACAACACAAUUGAGUUGAAUGAUUUGGGCAUUCCCCAGCCGGAUCAGUGGUUUGUAUUCGGUACUCAAGUACUGUGGACCUUUCGAGGCAGGCUUCGGCUCAACCCAAGAACUACUGAGAAGGUGGAUGAUUCCCAUCUUUUUCUUUAUGAUACGUGGAGUUCAUACGGGUGGAAUUAUUUGCUGCAACAAGAGGCAAGAGAGAUUGCUCGGUACACUGAUAAUCUUGGCGAAACAGUUGAAGAGUGCUGCUUGUAUCUGUUGUCAUUAAAUUCUCAAGGAGGCAAUAUCAUGGACUAUGACUGGUCCACACAUGCUUCUAACUACUGGGUCUGUGAUGGGAUUAUACAAGGAGGCCAUGGUGACGAAGCAUGGGAGGCUGCAGCUGCUCUGCAUCAACACAUAAAUAUAGAGGAUUAUUCGUCUAAUACAGUACCAUAUUUUGGGGAUGAACUGGAGACUCCUUCAAAACGGUGGAUAUUGGCCAAGGACAGCUCUGUUGUGCAUCCAGAGUCAACGUCCUUUUUCCUUGCUGCAGUUGCAAAUCCUUCAUUGAGACACUUACCUUAUGACAUGUUUCAUCAAGCGGACAAACUUUGUGUGCUCAAGUUAUGCCGCUGCACCUUCAGCUUUUCUGCACCUCCUUUCUGUUGUUGCCGCAGCUUAAGGUUCCUUGGAUUAGAUAGCUGCCAGGAUCUACGACCAGAAGAAGAUGAGAAGCAAGAUAUGGAUUUUUUGAAGAGCCUAUGGGUGAUAGACAUACACAAUACAGACUGGAAUCUGCCUUCAUCACCAGAGAUAAUAAAGCAGAUGGCUACAAACAUUAGGGAAGUACAUAUAAAGAAUGGAAGGUUUUGGCACAUCAUUUUUGCAUUGGGACAACCACAAAAUCUUCACAAGCUUCGUGUUAUUGACCCUACAUGCUGCUCUUUGGAGACAGGCUUGCCCAGCUUGUCAAGUUCAACUAGCCUCAAGACUCUGGUUCUAGAUGGUUGUGUUGGUUUGGAGCAUGUUGAAGGACUCCCUCCAUCACUUGAAUCAUUCAGCUUAGAUGCAAGACCAAGAAAAGAUGAUUACAAGGAAGCCAAAAUAAGCCGCAUCUCCUUGGCUGGUUGUGCAAGAUUGUCUGAAUUCACACUGAGGGGAUCACUUCCAAACCUUGAGGAGUUGGACCUAUCUGGCACGAAAGUCAAGACACUUGACCUCACAACUCAGGUGGUGCAGGUCCCAUGCCUCCAACAAAUUAUUCUACUGGGAUGUAUGCAGCUGCAUGCUAUUCUAUGGCCAAAAGAGGGUCUGCCAACACUGACGGUGCUGCAUAUUGAUACCUCGGUUUGUCCUGUUCAAACAAAACUACAUAAAGUGUAUGUUACUAUAAUGGAUAUGAGGUUUUUUCAAUCCUUGGUAUUACAUGUACAGAGAAAUGUCCGAUUCUGUUGGAAGAGCAAUAGGUUCCAUCUAAAUCUUUGUGUCCCUUGUACCACCAAUGUUAAGGGACAAAGCUAUAUGAAGAAGAAGAUGGGCCCUGGUAAUAGUGGGAAAAUAAUGGGUCCUGCUCAACCAAAGUCAUUAAACCCCAAUACUUGCAGCACCUACACUGAUGUCUCGGUUGACAACAUAAUUAUUGAUCACGACUACAACAAUGCAAUGAAGUUUCAGCCGUCGGGCUGCCAUGUGGAGAUUGGUAAGGGAGUUAGCAACGCUAGCGUGGAGGGUGUGCAAGCAAUCAAGGCUAUCAUCUUUGCAAUGAACCAAUCCGAGUCGCUGCAUGUUCAUGACAGUUCUUCCAUCGCCACUGUCAUCACCGAACACAUGAAGUCUAGAGUUGGGAGGGAUCUUGACUGGGAACAUCUAAAACAUUGUCAUGUGGUGAGAUGCCCCAAGAUGCACACAGUCUUCAUGACUAACUAUGGUGUCUACCCCUUUACAGAAAUAGAGACCUUUUGGGCCGCUGAUCUACCGAUGGCACACUGCAUUUGGAGCAAAGGAACGACCUACUGGGGCACGGAAACUAGGUGCUUUGCGAAACUGCGGAGCAUACACCUCUACUCUUGCCCAAGGCUCGCAUUUGUGCUUCCGUUAUUGUGGGGUAUUCAAGGAUUAUAUUUACAGAACUUAGAAAGUCUCCACAUUGUGAAUUGUGGUGAUCUAAAGACGGUGUUCCCUGUUCAUCCCGGCUUGAAAGAACGUGUACUUGAGUUCCCAAGCCUGAAGCACAUCCAUCUGUAUGAGCUCCAUAAGUUGCAGCAUAUAUGUGAGGUGAAGAUGCAUGCUCCCAAGCUUGAGAGGGUAUGGCUCAGGGGCUGUUGGAGUCUCAGGCGCCUCCCAGCCAUUGGCGGAGCUAGCCGUCGCCCCGUCGUGGACUGCGAGCAGGACUGGUGGGAGAAGCUGGAGUGGGACGGGCUGGAGGCUGGGCACGACCCAUGCCUCUUCGAGCAACGCCACUCAUCGCAUUACAAGAGGCCCUUGCCUAGAGUUUCUGUGCUUCGGUGA